AAAAGGAGGAACCAAUAUGACGGAGUCAUAUUUUAGGAUGGUUCCGACGAUCUGCCGCCGAGCGAUAGCGAGGGGCGAUACUUAUA
rnacentral:sRNA from 12 species